UACGGGGGGGGCAAGCGUUGUUCGGAAUUACUGGGCGUAAAGGGCUCGUAGGUGGCCAACUAAGUCAGACGUGAAAUCCCUCGGCUUAACCGGGGAACUGCGUCUGAUACUGGAUGGCUUGAAUCCGGGAGAGGGAUGCGGAAUUCCAGGUGUAGCGGUGAAAUGCGUAGAUAUCUGGAGGAACACCGAUGGCGAAGGCAGCCCCCUGGGCCAAUACUGACGCUCAGGCACGAAAGCGUGGGGAGCAAACAGG
rnacentral:rRNA from 1 species